rnacentral:rRNA from 1 species
GACGAACGCUGGCGGCGUGCCUAAUACAUGCAAGUUGAGCGCUGAAGGUUGGUACUUGUACCGACUGGAUGAGCAGCGAACGGGUGAGUAACGCGUGUGGAAUCUGCCUUUGAGCGGGGGACAACAUUUGGAAACGAAUGCUAAUACCGCAUAAAAACUUUAAACACAAGUUUUAAGUUUGAAAGAUGCAAUUGCAUCACUCAAAGAUGAUCCCGCGUUGUAUUAGCUAGUUGGUGAGGUAAAGGCUCACCAAGGCGAUGAUACAUAGCCGACCUGAGAGGGUGAGCGGCCACACUGGGAAUGAGACACGGCCCAAACUGCUACGGGAGGCAGCAGGAGGGAAGCGUAGGGAAGGGACGAAAGUCGGAACGAGAAAGGCCGCGGGAGGGAAGAAGGGUGUCGGAUCGGAAAACUCGGUUGGUAGAGAAGAAAGUUGGUGAGAGUGGAAAGCUCAUCAAGUGACGGUAACUACUAAGAAAGGGACGGCUAACUACGUG